UCCCCGGUAGUUCAACCAGUAGAACGCCGCACUGUUAAUGCGGAUGUGCAGGGGCGGAGCCUGCCUGGGGAGCCA
rnacentral:tRNA from 1 species